AAAGAGAUACAAAGAAACAGACCAGGGUAGAUCACAACAGAUGCUUGUCAGAGAGGCAUGCUUCCCUCACAGAAAUCCAAAUGACUUAAGUUAACUAGAAAGAUAUCACCUGGGAAUUCUUAUUUCUGUAAGAAAUGGGAACAGCAGUUUUUAUUCUGGUUCUCAACUGGUGGCGGAGGUUGUCCCCCAGGAGAUGCUUGGUGGCAUCUGGUGGAAGGCUGCUACUGACAUCUAGUGGAUAGAGGGCAAACAUUCUAGCGUGCGUGGAACAACACUAAGGCUCCAAUGACUGUGGAGCGAAGGAUGAGAAAUUCUGCCUUUAGUCAAGCUCCAUCACGAAGCCGCAGAGCACAGGAUGCAUCCGGCCCCUCCCACAGCCACAGAGGGCCGUUGCUCCAAUGGUACACGCUCUGCUGAGGGCAGCUGUUAGAUCGACCCCAGAAAAUUCACUGUCAAGGCUGAGACCACAGUCAUCUUUCCAGGACUGUCCUUGGGAGACCCUUCUGUCUGGUCUUAGUUCCAAAGAUAGCUAGCUCUCUCUCCUCUUUAUUUUAAAUCAUGGACACUGUUAGCUCUGGAAUGGACUAUACUGUCCUUUUGGAGUUGGCUAUUAAACAAGUGUGAGCCAAAUUUGGGACCCACACA
ensembl:lincRNA 9030616G12Rik RIKEN cDNA 9030616G12 gene